rnacentral:rRNA from 1 species
CCUACGGGGGGCAGCAGUGGGGGAUAUUGCACAAUGGGGGAAACCCUGAUGCAGCGACGCCGCGUGUGGGAAGACGGUCCUCUGGAUUGUAAACCACUGUCCCCAGGGACGAAGAUGACGGUACCUGGGGCGGAAGCUCCGGCUAACUACGUGCCAGCAGCCGCGGUAAUACGUAGGGAGCGAGCGUUGUCCGGAAUUACUGGGUGUAAAGGGAGCGUAGGCGGGACUGCAAGUUGGGUGUCAAAUCUACCGGCUCAACCGGUAGCCGCACUCAAAACUGCAGUUCUUGAGUGAAGUAGAGGCAGGCGGAAUUCCUAGUGUAGCGGUGAAAUGCGUAGAUAUGAGGAGGAACACCAGUGGCGAAGGCGGCCUGCUGGGCUUUGACUGACGCUGAGGCGCGAAAGUGUGGGGAGCAAACAGGAUUAGAUACCCGUGUAGUC